UAAGUGCUUUAUUAGACUUCUAAUCUAAACCAAGCUUUUGCUACACUUUU
rnacentral:tRNA from 1 species